UUUUCCAAAUUUACGAAAAAUUGACAGUGAAGCUUGGCCAACGUGAUGUAUACACUAUUAUCUGAUUAUAAGCGAAGGCUGAAGACAUAAUUCCUAAGAAUUAAAUUUCUACAGCGUUUUUUCCGUGAUGCAAUUUGAUGUGACACACCCUUUAUAUUUCAACGUUAAAGUGAAAGUGAAUUAGCUAUUAUAAAAACAGAGAAGUAAAAAUCGGGAUUGUUGUAGAUUUUAGUUGAAGAUUCACCAGGAAUUGUUUAAAAUGUUAAUGAAACGAAAUUAAAAAAAGAUAGAAGUUGGGUGUCAAAGAGAGAGCUUUGAUUUGGCUGAUAGAAAUAUUCGAGAUUGUUAUGGUUUUGUUUGUAUAAAAUUAAGAAUAACACCUUCAAAAUCACUAAUUUUUAAGUUUUUCGCUUUUGAAAUAUUACUUAAAUCUUUCAAUUCAAAAGUUUUACAACUGUAUCCUGUAUAAAAUUUUCUCAUUUUUCAAAUGGAAGCAACAAAAUUGUCCUACAAUUUUUGAAUUAGAGUCAGUUUAAGGCAAACAGAGCCUUAUUAUUGAAUUUUUUUUUUACUCGAUUAUUUACAGUGAAAAGAAAUCGCAGAUUGUUUAUAAUAGAGUCCGUCAUGUACUACAUUAAUUCAAUUUAUGUGUCAUAUAAUAUUAAAUUUAACUGUAUCAGCCUGAUAUGCAUAUAUGAUUUCGUAUAGAUCGGUUUUACGAUAGUGUGUAUCAUAAAACCGAAACUUGUUACGCCGAAUUAAGACUUAAUUUGUAGUGAUAAAUAAAAUCGAAGUCUUCGCAUUUUAUACGAUUUGAAAUGUACAUAAUGUAUCCUUUGUUCGACGUUAUAUAUGAUUUUGAUUCGAUCUCUUUUCAUAUGCGACUUAGAAUAUGCCAAGUCAUGCGAUUCAAUGUUUGGUAGGCAGUUUGCUGAGGCAUAUGUAAACAUACUUAAGGAGUUCUGGACCAACUUUAUACGGAUGAGACGAAAACCAAUCUCUUUGAAUCGGAUGGAAGACAAAUGGUGUGAAGGAAACCAGGAUCGGUGCUCCAGGUUCAGCAGUUUGGUUAAUUGAACAUCUUGAAAAGUAACCUGCAGUCUUCCGUGCAGAAAUUGGGUCUUCCUCGUGAUUACUACUUUCAACAGGAUAAUGACUCAAAACAAGCUGGUCUCAUCGUGCGAGAGCGCCUGCUCUAUAAUGUCCCAAUCAACUCCAAACACCCCCGCAGUCACCGGACUUGAACACUAUUGAGCAUCUAUGGUGGGAAAUCAAGAAUCAAAGGGCCAUACCAAAAACGAGGGGAUUGAUUUUUGUUAUCGAUUAACAUUUCUGAACUGAUUUCAUUUUUUUUAAAGAGAGACUUGAACUGUACACUUAAUUUUGCUACGUCUGAAUUGAGGUGUUAAUGUUUGUUUUGUAAACACGAAGUAGAACUGUAUUCUUUUUUUUUAUUAUCACUACAUGAGAGUAAAAGGGUUCGAGUAUAUGAUGAAUAUAGGUUGUUUACAAUUAUUUAUUUUAUAAUCCCGGAAAACUCAAAAAUAACGAACCACCCAGGUGUGUACACUCAAUUUUGCGAUUGACUAUACAUGUUGCAUGAACAAUGAGUUUCAGCAUUUUAAAAACAAGAAAAAAAUUUAAUUUUGGUCAAACCAAGAUGUGUUGAAUGCCAUUUUCUCACGUGCAAAAAACUAUUUCAAAGACAAAUCGGAAGGGCUUUUUUCUAUCGAAGCAUGUCAGAGAACCUUCCUUGAUUAACACAGUAGCAAGCGGCCAGUUUGCCAGUGUACUUCACAUUUCCAGCAACUGGACAACUGGAAAAUGAAUAUCUAAACCCCGAAACAAUGAAAAAAAAAAAAAAGAUUUUGAAUACUUAUAAAUCGAGUAUUUUUCAAUGGUUCGCAAAGAUGUUUGCAUCAAUUGAUGGGAAAUAUUUCCACCAUGAACAAUUGAAUAAUUGUGAAAAGUCAAGCAUUAUCCAAGCGCACUAUGUUGUACGUUUUGAUUUGUCCAAUUUGUGUUCCUCAAAUGGUUCCAACCGAAUGGAUGGAAAAGAUGUAACAGCGGAAUAUAAUUUGAAUACAAGAAAACAUUGAAUCGUAAGCCACUCCCCUUGUGAUUCUACCGCCAAUCAAAUCAAAUAAAUUUGAUAGUUGCUUUCUGAAAAUAUCAUUCAUUUUCUAACCUCGAAGCAAAGCGGAUGUGCUGAUGAGCGUUCCAGCAUAGCAUAACCACGAAUAGCAAUAGCGGUAGCAAUGGCAGAAGCAGCAGUGUUAGCGGUCAACGAGUUUUUAUUUUGUUUCGUCACCCAUCGCUCUCAUGUAGUCGAUACAGCACACAGUGAUGAUACUGAUGCAAAAUUGCAUGUGACUGCCUCCAGAUUGUCUAGAAGAGUGCAAAAUAAGGAUACAAAUUUAGACAUAUGGCAUUGUGUUCUCGCGAAUCGCUUUUGGAUCUUCUGAGGGCCUCAAAAACUUUCAUAAAAGAGUUACUACAAUACAAUUCAAUGCAACGGUUCCAUGCAUUCUAACGAUAUAUCCGAAAUAACAGAAAAACAAACUGAUUUUUGUUUGCUUGGGGAGAGCUUGUGUGAAUUUGGCAGUAUUUUAGGAUGAAUCGAUUCCGAUCGAUCAUGAUAUUUCUUCGAAUUUGCGCCGGAAAAAAUGGUUAGACGUGACGUCGUUGGAGAUGCAAGUUUGCUAAUAAAGGUCAUACUCAAAAAAAUGAAAAGCCAAAAAUGAUCACCGCAAAUUUGAGGUGUUUCGAAACUCUCAGUGAAUAAAUAAAUACCAUCUUUUAUCAAACUCUGGUCGUUUUUGAAGACCUUCCCUGUUUUCCGGAACUUGCCCUCCAUAAUCGGUCAGAAUUUGUGUAUUGUGCGAAGUUCUGGCGAGUUUAACGGAUUUGCCGUUUUGGGCACAAAAAUAACAUCAUUGACUUCGUACUACUCCAUCACCGGUUCCGGGUAAUGGCACGAUGCCAGAUCCGGCCAAAACAGAGGGCCUCAUUCCCGUACACAUUUCGCGUUGAAAACGAGAUGAACGGCACGCCAUUGAACUACGUUUUACGAGUUAGUGAAGCAUCAAAGAUAAUAAUGGCUUUUCAGGCAGAAUGAACACCUUUUCAAAUAUAAAUUAUGAAUGAAACUUACCUUCUCCGCAUCAAAUUAGUGUGUAAUGUGAAUGGGAAACUUUGUUUUCUUCAUGUGGUAAAAUAGUCUAAAAAAAUUGUAUCUGAAGAUAAUUUCAUACUAGAAGAAUAAGUUUCAGUGGAAAACUGAAACUCUUGAACGAUUUUACCACACGGGAUACGGUCGAAUGCUUCAUUCCCAACUGUUUCGUGAUACACCUGGCCUGGGACUGACCUGGAUUUUCUACGAUCGCGCCCAUAACUUUUUGUCGUAGCACUUCUUGCUUGGAAGCCAUUUCGAUAUUCACUUGAAAGAUCGUGACGAAAUUUCGCAUAUGGAAACAUUACACUCUAAACUAGGUUUACCCAAAAUUUAAUAAUUUUUUACCAUGCAAUAAAAACAUAGAAUACUAAUUGAGAACGGUGAAGAUAAUUUUUAUUCAUGAUUUUUAUUUGUGUAGUGUGUUCAAUACAUCUGAAAAUCCACCAAUACAGAUGAAUAUAUGGCAACACUGGAGUUACCUAACAUUUGCAUUUCACACACAUGUAUAAUAUGACGCACUAAUUGCAAGCAGUUGUCAUUUUUCUAUUGGCAUCCAGUAGGCAGGCAGCAGUGGAAAACUUUCUAUUCGCUGGAGAGGCCAAUUACCUGUUCGAUAAUGGUACCAGUAACUGGAAUCGAGUGUUUACAUGGCUGUAGUAACUAGGCUCUAGUCACUGGAUACUACAACUGGAGCGCUGACUGGCAUUAUGUAAUUCAGGAAUAUGUAACGUGACAAGUAAGUUCUACGAGAAACAUUGUUUCUAGUAGAUCCAAAAUAAUAAUUUGUCUUAUUUUCUCCGAAUGCCAGCCUUGAUCAAAUCAACAAUUUUUCCCUUCAACCCUUUGAGGUACAGAAUUUUUGAAAAAAAAACAGUAAUGUUGCACAGAAUUUUUUUAAUCAUUCAAGAUUGAAAUAUUUGGUGUGUUCUCAUAUGAUGAUAAAUCGAAUAUAUUUCUGACAUUUGCUAAUGGUGUUGCCAACUACUUUAAAUAAGAAGGUUCCGAAAAAAAUAUGAGCACGCAGCUAUUCUAAUAUUUCUAGGUGGGUCAGAAAAUGUCCCACUAUGCGUUUUUACAAAUCAAAAAGGUAGAACAUUCUUAAUACCACCGUGCCCAAAGAGUUAGGGACUAACAAAAACCAUAAAAAUAUGAAUAUUCGAGUCGAUAAUAAAUUGAAAAAAGUUCAACCUUCAUCCGAACUGCGCCAGUUGACGAUACUCGAGAGUCGUUACUCACCACUUGCGGUUUGAACGGGGGAUCCAAUCCCCUCCUUUCCAGUUUAUGCCAGUCUAUACUAUCGAAGAACGGGUGGUAUUUGGGGUCACUCUCUUCUCCUAUCGUGUUUAGACAACCUAGCCGAAUUGAGGCGUCUUUCUCCAGCAGCUUAAAUUCAAAUCCGUGUUUAGAUAUUCAUCCCCAUGCAACACGACGCUACUUACCGACUGGAGCAAUUUGAGUGCCUCCUUCGACAGGAAAUGUGGAAACCAUGGAAUCUCGUUACAAAUCGACCAGAACAGUUCGUCCUCGUCACAACCACUGAAGGGUGAUUGUCCGACGAGCAUUUCGUACACCAGCACACCGAACGACCACCAAUCGACAGCUUGGUUGUACUUCUGACCCUGUUGAGGAUUCAGGAAAAUUAUCGUAAAAUCGUAGCCGAUUCCAAUCUAAACGCGAUGUCAGCUUACUUUAAUGAUUUCAGGCGCCAUGUAAUCCGGUGUACCACAAAAACUGUCUGCUAGCCGGUCCAAAUAAAUCUCCAGCUUACACAUACCGAAGUCGGCUAUCCUCACGUGACCAUCGUAGUCCAGCAGCACGUUGUCCAACUUUAAAUCGCUAGAGGUGAACAGACAUACAUUGAUUCAUUUCGAACCGCUGCGCGGUGUGAUGUGCAUUUCAGUUCUUACCGAUAGACAAUUCCCUUCCGGUGCAAGAACUUCAGCCCGGACAUGAUCUCGGCCGCAUAGAAUCGCGCCCGCCCUUCCGUGAAGCGACCGCUCUGCUGUAUGUGGAACAUCAAAUCACCACCGUUCAGGUACUCCAUCACGAAGAAUAAAUGGCUCUGGAAAGGAAACGGCAGAAAAUGUUCUACUCUGCGCAUGUAAUCGGUCACAUGUACAUAAGCCAAUGAAAACAUGGCUAGGCUAGAUGCCCAGAUUAGCGACAACUGUCUUUGGCGUGCCGAUGAAUAGUAAACCAAAGCAAGUAGAGGUAUACGACUAGGUGAGUCAAUACGUCAAUACAGCUCUACUACCAUCUUGAAAAUCUACUGUACUUGUAAACAAUCGAUCGACCGACCUAUGACCGAUCGAACUACUCAACGUAAAGGAGUAGGUCAGUUGCCAAGAGUUUCAAGCUACGUUCCACUCGUUAAACGCCAAUGCUGCCAUGGAGGUUACGACCUCUCACCGAAACUGAGAAAUCACCAAGUUAUACCAGCUUCCGAUCGUCGUUAGCCCACAUCAUCUCGCUGAUGCUCAAACAAUUCACACGAUGACCCUGAGACCCGCAGAACCACCCCUGCACGGUCAUAGUUAAGACCUGGGAGCUUAGGCUACUUUCCUAGCUGGAACCAGUAAAUUUCGUCCUAAGGCUAAGAGCAGCCGCAUUGAAAAGUAAAUCGUAAUACAACAAUACAAUAAACUAUCAAACAGAGUAUUAUGUGUGAGGUACUCGGAAACGAUCGGCCAAACGUUAACAAAUCGAAUGUUUCGAAUGCUCUUCUCAAAGAUAUUCCGGAGUUUUCAUCGAAAGACGCGACGUUCACGAUAAUAAUGAGUAAGCAUCGCAAGAGCUAUUUUAUUCUGGGUGUUAUAGCUAUAAAAGCUAUCAUGACGGCUUUUUCUAGUUGACAUACAUGCGAUCGUUUGUUCCAACACCAACAUUACGCCACAUUUCCAAUUAACAAAACAUUAAAGCCGCUAAAUAGUAAACAUUUCACACUACACAAAAAACAACAAUGUGUGCGUAUGAUGCAAAAAUACACAAGCGCUCUCCACCAGACGGCAUGAAAACGCUUCAUCGAGUUCUGUUCUGGAUUUGAAGUUGCGAACAAGUUAGCACCACGAUUCAUUCACGAAAUAACACACUAUGGAUUCUUUAAAGUCUAUUUGGACGUUGCAGCAAUGAAACCGAUAUCGAACUGGAGAACCCUCGGUAGCUCGGAUAAUUUUCAGAAUUAGCAGUAGUUAACAACGUGUGAACUCAGUAUCAAGGACUAUUUAGACAAUAUCAGCUAUUGAUAUGCCAGUUGAACUGAUGCCGAACCGAAGGAAUAUAUAAAUUAUCAACAU